rnacentral:lncRNA from 1 species
GAAAAAAUAUGAAAAUUAAUUAUCAUGUUUCCAGAAAAUGCUGUAGAGAAACAACACAAUCUAAAUACCAAAAAAAAAGAGUUUUCAUUUAUGAGAAACCUAUUUUUGGCAAUAAUAAAACAAUGUAAAAAUUACAGCUGACCGUAUACAGAUUUGACCUUGCAACACUGUUGUUUUGGAAACAUUUUAUUCUUCAUACUUCCACAAAAGGUAAACUUUAAAGCCAAUAAUAAACUGUCAGUAAGAAUGAUGAAAUUUGUUUAUUGCAAUAUUUAAUAUUUAUAUGCACAACAACAAAAAAACAAGAGGCAUCAGUCCAUGAUUGCUGAUCAAAUAAGUCCCACAUAAAUAUGAUGAUUUCCAUGACUUGACCAUUUAAGAAUCAUGUCCCUAAAUUAUUAGAAACCAAAAUGUUUACAUCCAAUCAUCAUUCAUCAAUUCAUAAUUAUAAGCCAUUAUAGUUAACUUUGUCGCAAGUUAGCUAAGAAUACAUAUUUAUAUACUUUUUAGUGACCUCAAUAUCAAAAGAUGUCUUUUCACCCCAAGGCACAUUAUCCAUCAAAGAUUGGUAAAGAUCUGAUAAUAGCUUAAAAUUUAGCUGAGGAACAAUUUGAAUUUAACCAGAUUAUUACAGGGAAUGGCUGAAACAUUCAAUGAACAUCCUUAAUUAGUCACAUAUUCUUAUUAAAAGUUAUUCAUAAAUUUUAACAUUGCAUGAUUCACAUAUAUAUUUGCACUGUAAACAUGAUCUCACCUCAUAAUUUUUUUACAAGUUACGCUUUUUCAGAGAGUGAAUACAAAUAUUUUUUCUUGACAGCAUAAUAUUUUCAUGAUAUAUGCUUUCUGUUAUCAAAUCAGUUUUUGGAGAUUAAUCUUCUUCACAUUUUAUAAAUACACCACAGAAAAAUAUCCUAAAGUGGUACAUUGGGAAAUUUAUAUACGGUGAAGAUAACUUUACAUAUCGAUGUAGUCAACCUACAUGUGGAUCUUCCCUUGUAUUGAUUAGGACAACUGUAUUUAUGGAUAAAGUUGUCUAUGAAAGAAACAACUAGAGGCUCUAAAGAGCCUGUGUCGCUCACCUUGGUCUUGUGCAUAUUAAAUAAUGGACACGGA